rnacentral:misc_RNA from 1 species
GGGUAUUGUUGAUUUGUUGGUAAUAGAUCUCUUUUAUUAGGCAAUGUAUAUCUUAUCCAUCUUAGGGCCUUGUUUAAAGGCUUGUAAUUGAUCACUAGUCUUGGGACUCCUCUUUCUAGUUCAGCGGCAUUUUCAACAUAAAAGGCUGGACAGCUCCAUGGGCUUUGACUUUUUCUAAUAAGCCCUUUUAGUUCUAAAUCUGUUAUUUCCUUUUUACAAAUUUCUAAAUGUCUUGGUCCCAUAGCAAUGGGUCGGGCCUUUGUUGGUAUCAUUUUUUCAUUGAAAUUAGGCUCAUAUGGUAAAUUAAUUUCAUGGGCCUUUCUUUCCCAAAAGGCAUUUGGGAUCUCUGCACAGAUGCUAUUAGCCAUCUCAUUGUAUAACUCUUUUACUUUUCUUUGUACUAAAGGUUCAUUAACCUUUUCUUGAACUGUUUUGUAUUCUAUUUCUCAUUUAAGAGAAUUUAUAAAUUUUUCUUUAUUUUUGACGUUACUUUUAAGUACAUCAAUUUCUUUUUCUAUUAGUAAAGAGAUAAACUAAAAAAUAAUCUUUCUCUUCUACUUCAGAAACAAUUCCUUUUUCUGUUAUUGAUUUUAUCGGGUAUAACAUAUGCAGGAAUGGGUUUCCUAAUAUAACCGGAUGAGAUAAUCUUUUUACCAAGAUAAACGGGAUUUCAAAACAUAUACUUUGGUUACAGACAACUGUAUUCGACAAUUUGUAUUUUACUCUCAUUUUACUGCUAUCUGCUGUAUGUAACUCUUCUACUGUUUUAGAGAAGUAUUUUGAAGGUACUAAUCCUUCGUUUAUACAACAUAGAUCUGCGCCUGAGUCUAUUAAGGCUAUAGUAUUGAACAAGUAUUCCUUUUGAACAAUUAUAGUUACUCUAGUAUGCCAUUUGUGAGUUAUAACUCGAUCAAUUCUGUUGAUGUACUGGAGACUAUUUAUUUCUACUUGUUCUUCUUCUUCCUUUUCUGCUGUUUCCAUAAUUAAUGGAGA